rnacentral:rRNA from 1 species
UGGGGAAUAUUGCACAAUGGGCGCAAGCCUGAUGCAGCCAUGCCGCGUGUGUGAAGAAGGCCUUCGGGUUGUAAAGCACUUUCAGCGAGGAGGAAGGUGGUGAACUUAAUACGUUCAUCAAUUGACGUUACUCGCAGAAGAAGCACCGGCUAACUCCGUGCCAGCAGCCGCGGUAAUACGGAGGGUGCAAGCGUUAAUCGGAAUUACUGGGCGUAAAGCGCACGCAGGCGGUUUGUUAAGUCAGAUGUGAAAUCCCCGGGCUCAACCUGGGAACUGCAUUUGAAACUGGCAAGCUAGAGUCUCGUAGAGGGGGGUAGAAUUCCAGGUGUAGCGGUGAAAUGCGUAGAGAUCUGGAGGAAUACCGGUGGCGAAGGCGGCCCCCUGGACGAAGACUGACGCUCAGGUGCGAAAGCGUGGGGCAGCAAACAGGAUUAGAUACCCUGGUAGUCCACGCUGUAAACGAUGUCGAUUUUGGAGGUUGUGCCCUUGAGGCGUGGCUUCCGGAGCUAACGCGUUAAAUCGACCGCCUGGGGAGUACGGCCGCAAGGUU